CCCAUGUGGCUCAGUAGAGCACUUUUUGGUAAGUGAGAGGUCGCGGGUCCGAUUCCCGCCAUGGGCA
rnacentral:tRNA from 1 species